ACUCUGUAUUACAAGAGUGAUGUUGCUGUUAUGGAUAACAUUAUCGCUCACAUGGUCUGGCACAAUCGGCUUUACGAUCCACAGCAUGAAGGAAGGUCUGUGUCUAGAGGACUCAUCUGAAGGAGUUGUUGAGUUAAGGACAUGCAGUCUGGACUCAGUCCUGCAGCAGUGGAAGUGGACAGAUCACUGCUUAGUAAACACAGGCACCCUGAGGUGUCUCUCUGCCAUCCACACUGACCCAGUCCAGACUAUCGCUUGUGAUUCUAGUGAACAUAUCAAAUGGCAGUGCAAAGCUCAACAGCUCAUCAGUCUGCAAAACUCUCUAGCAUUGAGCACUGAGAGAGGAAAACUCAGACUGAACACGGGUGAACAUGACACCUGGAAAUCUCUGGAUGCGGGUGACAUCUGCCAGAAUAAGCUGAGAUCCAGAAGAGAAAGUGAUUUAGAGACCGAUGAGUUUGACUUUGCUGAAGAGCCGCCUAAACAAAGAAUGACAGAGGCACAGUUGAAGUUUUUACAGUGGUAUUACCGCACAGAGGACCCAACAUCGUGGAAGUUUGGCAUGCUGGCAUUUGCUUUUCUGGGUCUUCUGAUUGGUGCUAUGCUGUUGGUCAUGGGCAUGAUGGCUAAUAGGAACAGGAAGCAAAUAGCCAAAUACAAAGCAGCCUCAAAAGUCACAGCGGUGAAACCUGAAAUGGAGGAACUGCAGGCCAUCGUCACUGAUAAGGUCACAGAGGUCAAGGAGGAGAAAACCCAUUUUACCCCAUACGAACAAAUUACUACACAUAACAGCCAUAGGGAUUGGGAAGAGCCUUCAUACAAUAGCAUAGCCUCAGAGGGACUGAAGCCCGGAGAAACUGUGGUGACCUGGAAAGACGGGAAUGUGUCUGCUCUGUAUCCUGAACCUGCAGAGGAAGGACAAGGGGAAGAGGACGUCCACAACACAGAUGCAGGGUCUCUGUCCCAAACCCCCCCCCAAGUAAUAGCUUCAUAUGAGGCAAUUGCAUUUUAAUUUAGUCCUACUGUUUGGGUUCAUUUUAACACUAUAUUCAAGAUGGCAUGGGAUUGGUUGACAGACUAUUUUAGAGUUAACCUAGGGCUGUAACCACACUGAGGGGUGUGUAUACCCACGUAAUUCAAUUUAGUGGUCAAUCAAAAUAUUGUUUUUUCAAUGUAAAUCUCUUUCACAUUGGCAGGCAAAAAUGUUUAAAUGUUUUGAAAGAAAUUAUAUAGCAAAGUUAUUUUAAAUGCUUAUAAUAUUACUGUAUGUCUACUGUAUUUUUUUAAAUAAAUGGUGCACAUUAGAGAUUUCUUUCAAAAACAUUAAAAGCAUUUUAAAAAAUCUUAAUUAUUCUUUAUAAUAACUUGUAGCUGCCAGUGUAUAUUAUUACACUUGGGUUUCCCUAGCCCAACAUAUAUGCUUAUAGCCUUGGGUCAACCAACGUUUUUUCUAAACCAUACCGUAAUAGUCUAACUUAUAUGGAUUAAAUCAAACAUUUAAUCUUCAUAUUUUUCUUUUUAUGCUUCCCAUACGAAGCACUGUAAAUUAUUCUCUUCUCUCUCACACAUUGUGAUGCAAUACAAUACACUUGGUCAUUUCAAUGUUUAAUCAAUACUAACACAAUUUUUUUUUUUACAGUUUAACAAGAACAAAUAAAGAUAAAGG
rnacentral:lncRNA from 1 species